rnacentral:rRNA from 1 species
UACAGGGGGGGCAAGCGUUGUUCGGAAUUACUGGGCGUAAAGGGUUCGUAGGUGGCUCACUAAGUCACACGUGAAAUCCCUCAGCUUAACUGGGGAACUGCGUGUGAAACUGGAGAGCUUGAGGGUAGGAGAGGAAUGCGGAAUUCCAGGUGUAGCGGUGAAAUGCGCAGAUAUCUGGAGGAACACCGGUGGCGAAGGCGGCAUCCUGGACCGACACUGACGCUGAGGAGCGAAAGCCAGGGGAGCAAACGGG